UACGUAUGGAGCAAGCGUUAUCCGGAUUUACUGGGUGUAAAGGGAGCGUAGGCGGUCCUGCAAGUCUGAUGUGAAAGGCCGGGGCUCAACCCCGGGACUGCAUUGGAAACUGUAGGACUAGAGUGUCGGAGGGGUAAGUGGAAUUCCUAGUGUAGCGGUGAAAUGCGUAGAUAUUAGGAGGAACACCAGUGGCGAAGGCGGCUUACUGGACGACUACUGACGCUGAGGCUCGAAAGCGUGGGGAGCAAACA
rnacentral:rRNA from 1 species